AGAUGCCAUCCAGGCGCACGGCGGGUAUAGUGGUUCCGCAACCUUGGGAUGUUCGGCUGAGCGCCUGCCUAACAUGGGAGCGCCUGCCUAACCCUCCUGACUGGAGGGUCAGCGGCGGGGAGUCCUGGCCUUCAAUCGGCCAUCGCCACGGCAGAAACUGGGGCCCGGGCUGCGUCCAGGCCCUUCCCCGUCCGUCCACAGGUCUCAUGGGCGCCCGGACUGGGGCUGAUGUAGUUUCCCGACCUCUGACACAUAGGAUCUGGAGAUUAAAGCUGCUCUGCUAAUAAUUAGGUUCCCACCUCUCAAGAUCAUUAGGAGCUUCUUUUCCAAUUCCUCUGUUUUGCAUGCAUUGGAAGGCCCCUGGAUCCUCCUGGAAUCCCUGAUCCCUGUUGCUCCCUGGCGGAGUUUUCUAGUCCCUCUUACUUGAAGCAUGUCUUUCAGAGCCCGGCACCACCCAAGUUGGGUAUCUGAUACCCCAUCAGCCUGAGUCUCUUAAAGGCCUUUAUACACAUAUGUCUACACAUAGGGAUUUGGAUGAUCUCGGGAUCCCACAUCCUCGCUGUCCCCUGUCCCCCCACAACAUCCCACACCAAUACCUUUCUGAAGUUUUCUAGUCCCUCCUUUUUGUUUGUGGUCCUUAAAGCCCAGCCCCAUGCCUGACUUUGGUUCCCAGUGAGCAUUGUACAUUUGUGGAUAUU
rnacentral:lncRNA from 1 species